CCUACCUUUAACUCUGGGAUAGCCCGAAGAAAUUCGGAUUAAUUACCGGAUAAUAUCAAGAUAUGACAUCACAGCUUGAUUAAAGGCGCGAGUUGGUUAAAGAUGGGCAUGCGUCCCAUUAGUUAGUUGGGGAGGUAACGGCUCACCAAGGCGAUGAUGGGUAGGGGCUCUGAGAGGAUUACCCCCCACAUUGGUACUGAGACAGGGACCAAACUCCUACGGGAGGCAGCAGUGAGGAAUAUUGGGCAAUGGACGGAAGUCUGACCCAGCCAUGCCGCGUGCAGGAAGACGGCCUUAUGGGUUGUAAACUGCUUUUAUGUAGGGAAAAAGUUCAUAUUGCGAUAUGAUUUGAUGGUACUACAGGAAUAAGAAUCGGCUAACUCCGUGCCAGCAGCCGCGGUAAUACGGAGGAUUCGAGCGUUAUCCGGAUUUAUUGGGUUUAAAGGGUGCGCAGGCGGACUAUUAAGUCAGUGGUGAAAUUUUCCGGCUCAACCGGGACAGUGCCAUUGAUACUGAUAGACUAGAGUAUAAUUGACGUAUGUGGAAUGUAGCAUGUAGCGGUGAAAUGCAUAGAGAUGCUACAGAACACCGAUAGCGAAGGCAGCAUACGAAGCUAUAACUGACGCUCAUGCACGAAAGCGUGGGGAUCAAACAGGAUUAGAUACCCUGGUAGUCCACGCAGUAAACGAUGAUAACU
rnacentral:rRNA from 1 species